GACGGACAGCACAUGUGUAGUCAGCCGGCAUUUUUCGAGUCGUGUUGUAAAUGUUGUUAAUUCGCCGUAAAUAUCUCUUGAUUUGUACUCAAGGGUGGAGCAAGACCCCAAGGAAGAGAGAUUGACGCAUCGGGAGCGAAGAACAGAAACGAUGGAUGGUUACGCUGCUUGGGUCUCGGCACGUUCGAAUUGGCAAAGUUCCGAAUUUGUUGCUGUGUUGUGUACGCUUGUGCGCUCGUUAUUUGCCGUCAUCGCGCGGAGAUAUUUGCGCUGGAUGUCUUUCACUUCGUGUACAAAACUCUGCUCGCUGCGGCAUCGAAGAAGUUGUCCUGUGUUUGGGAGCACGUAUGCGCUUGGACACGGAUAGCCUGCUUGCUCUCAACGGGUGUUCAACAGUCUACGCGCGCUCGUAACUUGCUCAUGAGGCAAGUUGCUGUUGUGCUGGAGCUGAGAAGAGGUCUGCUGCCUGCAAUGGGUCCAUCUCUCUCAAGUGAUUGCAGUAUUAUAGCUCUCAAGGUUCAAAAAAAGUAUGGUGGAAGCUGUUGCCAAGGUUCCGACCAGAAAAGACAGCCAGUAUAAAAGGGUCCACGCCACUGAUCUCUACUACAGGGGAUGAACAGCACAUCGAGCGCCCUCGACUGAAGCUGGCCUUGUCCCGGAAGUUGGUGCUUGACAACUUUGCGGCAGCACUUUGUUGCACGGCCUGUGGAGACAAGGUUUCUUAGACAUGGCCGUGGCCCUCAAGGAAGAUGCCGAGGCCACAGGCAGUUCCUCCAGUGACCGUGAAAAGGUCCCCUGGGGCACAAGUCUGGUUUGGCACCCCCACCUUUCUGCUGCAGCUUUUCUGUCUACUUAGCUAAACAGCAGCAAGUUUAUCCUUGCAAGUGUUUGGAGUCAAGAACAACUUUCACCAGGAAGAAGUGCAAGACGAGUGAUUGAAGAAAAUAAAGUUGCUUCUGUGAUCUAAGAACUUGAGGACUGAAAUGUUGCACCUUUUUGUAUAUAUGCUAUGCAGUGCAUUCAUAUCACCAAGUGCAAAGUGUUUUAUCUCUGUAGCCAUGUCAGUGUGUUGGCAAGACAAUUUUCUCAAUGGUGACCUGCUGCUUUGACUAUGAGCUGCCUUCAUGACAUUUGCAUUAAAGGAGAUGUACUAUCGUGGACAAAAGUACCCUGGAAGUGCGAGCGUUGACCAAAUUGCAUUUCUGCUCAAGACCGCUGAAAACAGUGGGUCACGUAUGCACAUUCCGAACGCAGAUGGUGGCACGGCUGAUCCCAGCAAAUAGCACACCAAUGAAAUUCGGUCGACUCUCGCACGUCCUGGGCAAUUUUGUGCCCGAUGGCACAUUCUUCGAAUGGAUAUGCUCUGCAAGAUGAAAUACGGGAAGCACCUGUACUUUAACGGAUAUAGUACAGAUUUAGUAUACGGAGUCUUUCGUUUUCUGAAUACGGCAAGCACCUGUUUUUUAACGGUUAUAGUACAGAUUCAGAAUACAGAGUCUUCCGUUUUCUAGAUACAGAAGCACUCGUAUCUUGUAUUACGGUCUCUGUUUUUACAGUUGUCCGUACUACGGAAAUGACCGUUCUUAAUUUACGGAAGAGUGUUCGGUCACAAAUUACCAGCAAAUUUUCUGUAAAGUAAGGCAAAUUUUUUUUACAGUGUGCCAAAACCACUUUUUGAUUAUGAGGCACGCCGUAGUGGAGGACUCCGGAAAUUUCGACCACGUGGGGUUCUUUAACGUGCACCUAAAUCUAAGUACACGGGUGUUUUCGCAUUUCGCCCCCAUCGAAAUGCGG